AGCUGAUCACUGGGCAUAAAGCGUGCGCAGGCGGUUUUGUAAGACAGUGGUGAAAUCCCCGGGCUCAACCUGGGAACUGCCAUUGUGACUGCAAGGCUAGAGUGCGGCAGAGGGGGAUGGAAUUCCGCGUGUAGCAGUGAAAUGCGUAGAUAUGCGGAGGAACACCGAUGGCGAAGGCAAUCCCCUGGGCCUGCACUGACGCUCAUGCACGAAAGCGUGGGGAGCAAACA
rnacentral:rRNA from 1 species